rnacentral:rRNA from 1 species
GACGAACCGUGCGAACGUUGUUCGGAAUCACUGGGCUUAAAGGGCGCGUAGGCGGGUUCGCAAGUCUGUGGUGAAAGCCCCCAGCUUAACUGGGGAAGUGCCGUGGAUACUGCGAAUCUUGAGGAGGGUAGGGGCGUCUGGAACGGUCGGUGGAGCGGUGAAAUGCGUUGAUAUCGACCGGAACUCCGGUGGCGAAGGCGGCUUGCCAGAACGCACUCGACGGUGAGGGAUGAAAGCUGGGGGGAGCAAACCGG